AUACUCUGGUUUCUCUUCAGAUCACAUAAAUUUUUCUCCUUUUACUAAAGAUUUCCAUGGAGAGAAUGGUGAAUAAUGUUUUAGUGCCAGACAAAACAGUAUUCAAUUUAAUACUC